GACGAACGCUGGUGGCGUGCCUAAUACAUGCAAGUCGAACGAACUCUGGUAUUGAUUGGUGCUUGCAUCAUGAUUUACAUUUGAGUGAGUGGCGAACUGGUGAGUAACACGUGGGAAACCUGCCCAGAAGAGGGGGAUAACACCUGGAAACAGAUGCUAAUACCGCAUAACAACUUGGACCGCAUGGUCCGAGUUUGAAAGAUGGCUUCGGCUAUCACUUUUGGAUGGUCCCGCGGCGUAUUAGCUAGAUGGUGAGGUAACGGCUCACCAUGGCAAUGAUACGUAGCCGACCUGAGAGGGUAAUCGGCCACAUUGGGACUGAGACACGGCCCAAACUCCUACGGGAGGCAGCAGUAGGGAAUCUUCCACAAUGGACGAAAGUCUGAUGGAGCAACGCCGCGUGAGUGAAGAAGGGUUUCGGCUCGUAAAACUCUGUUGUUAAAGAAGAACAUAUCUGAGAGUAACUGUUCAGGUAUUGACGGUAUUUAACCAGAAAGCCACGGCUAACUACGUGCCAGCAGCCGCGGUAAUACGUAGGUGGCAAGCGUUGUCCGGAUUUAUUGGGCGUAAAGCGAGCGCAGGCGGUUUUUUAAGUCUGAUGUGAAAGCCUUCGGCUCAACCGAAGAAGUGCAUCGGAAACUGGGAAACUUGAGUGCAGAAGAGGACAGUGGAACUCCAUGUGUAGCGGUGAAAUGCGUAGAUAUAUGGAAGAACACCAGUGGCGAAGGCGGCUGUCUGGUCUGUAACUGACGCUGAGGCUCGAAAGUAUGGGUAGCAAACAGGAUUAGAUACCCUGGUAGUCCAUACCGUAAACGAUGAAUGCUAAGUGUUGGAGGGUUUCCGCCCUUCAGUGCUGCAGCUAACGCAUUAAGCAUUCCGCCUGGGGAGUACGGCCGCAAGGCUGAAACUCAAAGGAAUUGACGGGGGCCCGCACAAGCGGUGGAGCAUGUGGUUUAAUUCGAAGCUACGCGAAGAACCUUACCAGGUCUUGACAUACUAUGCAAAUCUAAGAGAUUAGACGUUCCCUUCGGGGACAUGGAUACAGGUGGUGCAUGGUUGUCGUCAGCUCGUGUCGUGAGAUGUUGGGUUAAGUCCCGCAACGAGCGCAACCCUUAUUAUCAGUUGCCAGCAUUAAGUUGGGCACUCUGGUGAGACUGCCGGUGACAAACCGGAGGAAGGUGGGGAUGACGUCAAAUCAUCAUGCCCCUUAUGACCUGGGCUACACACGUGCUACAAUGGAUGGUACAACGAGUUGCGAACUCGCGAGAGUAAGCUAAUCUCUUAAAGCCAUUCUCAGUUCGGAUUGUAGGCUGCAACUCGCCUACAUGAAGUCGGAAUCGCUAGUAAUCGCGGAUCAGCAUGCCGCGGUGAAUACGUUCCCGGGCCUUGUACACACCGCCCGUCACACCAUGAGAGUUUGUAACACCCAAAGUCGGUGGGGUAACCUUUUAGGAACCAGCCGCCUAAGGUGGGACAGAUGAUUAGGGUG
rnacentral:rRNA from 1 species